rnacentral:lncRNA from 13 species
GUUAAGUGUUCUUACCACAAUAAAAAAAGACUAAUGUAUUAAAAAGAAUUGUUAGUUUAUGUUUUUGUAUAUAUUAUGCAUAAAGAUGUAAUUCUUUGACACCAACAACUGAAAAAGGUGGGGACUGAGCUGUAAAGGAGCGGAGUUUUUGUGUGUUAUUGAAGUUAAGCUGUAUAAAUUCAAAUCAGAGUAUUAUAACUUUAGAAUGUUAAAUGUAAUCUCCAUGGUAACCACAGAGAAAGUAGCUAUAGAAUAUUUACAAAAGGAAAUGAGUAAGAAAUGUAAAUGCUUCACUGUAAAAAAAAAACAGCAACUAAAUACAUAUGAAGAAAGUAAUGCAGGAAAUAAAGGACAAAAAGAAGCUAUAAGCUAUCUUUCCUUCCUUAUAUUAUUAGCGGAUGAUUUAAGCCUACAGCCACGUUGAGACAUGGUGGCUCAGCAGAGCUGUCUGGGGAAAAAUGCACGUGAUUGCCAACUUUUGCAGAGUUGAGAGACUGGAAAGAGUCCUCGCCAGCUGAUGCACUUGGAGGAAGUGGAGUGUGUCGUGAUAUCAUUCAGUCUGCAUCAUUGACUCUGCAGUCUCUGCUGCCCUUAUAACUUAAUGUUCUGGGCAGUCCAGGUUCCCAUUUAUCAGCAAGGAUGAUAAACUGCUAAUGACUGCUGGCCUCUCCCUAUUCUUAAGUUAUCUGCUCACACAAAGCCACAGAUUCAUUCAAUUUGGAAAAUGUUAAUAAGAUGCCAAAAAUGUGUUCAGGAAGAUGAAAGAAAAAGCUUUUCAAAUGGCUUGUAUCAUUAUUUCCAAAAUUGAAUUCCAACUGUCCCUGUUUGCGCAGGUGAAUUAAAAG